rnacentral:lncRNA from 1 species
CUCUAUCACCCAGGCUUGAGUGCAGUGGCUUGAUCUCACCCCAUUGCAACCUCUGCCUCCUGGGUUCAAGUGAUUCUUGUGCCUCAGUCUCCUGAGUAGCUGGAAUUACAGGCAUGCACCACCACACCCAGCUAAUUUUUGUACUUUAGAGACGGGGUUUCAACAUAUUGGCCAGGCUUGUCUCGAACUCCUGACCUUAAGGGAUCUGCCCAACUCUGCCUCCCAAAGUGCAGGGAUUACAAGCGUGAGCCACCGUGCCCAGCCAGUUCCACCUGAUUUUUAAAAUUGCGUUGGCCAGCAUUGGACACACAGUAAAUGUUUAAUAAAUACUUUCCACGUUGAAUCAAAGAAGUUUCCUAUCUUAGCUAUUUCCUUGAAACUUUCCUGAAGUUUGAAACCUAACAGAUCAUCAGUGACGUCCUCAUCACAGUUUCACCUCUGCCUAAUAAAGCACAAAUUACUCUUAAGCAGUGAGGCGCUGUGCAGUUGAAGCCUUUUAUAACUCCAUUUGUCUGCAGUCACCUAAAUGUCAGUGGACAGAUGUGUUUGUCAUAGUGUGUGAUAAGUGCAAAUAACCCUUGUUAGUAGUGUCAUUAGAGGUGAAAUAGAUGCAUAGGAACUAAGAGGUCAUAAGCUGUCAGGUUUUACUCUAAGGAAAUAUAGAAUGUCAUUUGCACCUGAAAAUGUGCAGAAGUAAAUGGACAAUUCUUCACCCCAAUCUGUUUUUCAAAGCUUUGCAUGUUUACAUUUGUUCAUCCACUACCUUAGUCACAGCAUAGUGAAAUAAACCAUAAAUUAAAAAUAGCUCAGCGUACCACUGAAGAAUCAAUAGAUCUGAAUAUAGUAGCGUAGAAAAAGCUUCGGUUUACUGGAUGUACCUUCAAGGUGGACCAUACCCUUUAGGUAGAGGAUUAGUGGAGAACAGAAAUCUCUGCCUCUCUAUGGCUAGAAGUGGAUCUAUGUCAUUGACCUACCUACAGUGGCACUUUUCCUUACUUGAAAGUUGGGUAUACAGUGACCUCACCUACUCAUAGAACCUGCAAAAGUGGGAAUUAAUAGAAAAAGGCUUUUGAGUAGCCAAAAAGGAUUUGAUAAAGUUAAUAUUCUAAGUUAGCCUGUUCUCUUACCACAUAGUAUGUCUCCUCAGUUCUUGUUUGCUUGAUGCAAAGUUCUGAAGCUUAGUGACAAGGGACUUACCUUUGUCCCUGUUCCUACAUCCUUCUAGGCUCUAACUGGUUUGAUGAAGCGUGAGUAGCUCAGAGAUAUACAUGCCAAGAACGGCCUGGAACAGUUUUAUUGCCCCUCCCCUGCCCAACUCAUUGAAGGAAACAGGAGGGAGUGAACCCGUCUCUUCUGCUGAAUCCAUUGCAGUCCACUUUUUUGUGUUCUAAUGAGUAUAUUAAAAUUGCAGUCUGAAGUCAUUUCAGAGCUCCUAUCCUUUACUACAAGCUGACUUAGGUGGGACUGCUCCAGCAACUUGGGGCUAAGAGGCACAGGGUCUGACUUCUCUCCCUGCUUCCCUACUCCUGCUCCAUUAAGGGUGAGAGGUUGGGGAGUUUGCUGUCCUCUCUGUGAUGACUUGUUGCUGCCAAUCUGAUUCCUAAUGCUGUAGAUUUAUUAAGGCUAGAUGGUGGAAGAUUGGGCCCUGAUGACAACGGAGCCAUCCUGGGUUCCUCUGACCGUGAUGAACCUCCUGGGAGAGGCAGCCACAGCUGAAGCACACACAGCUCCCUUCUGCUGUGGCAGCCCCACGAGCCUGCAAACCCCCAUCUCAUCACAGCCUCGGUUCUCAGCUCUGAGGCUGGCCAGACCUCCAACUGGUGGGUAAAACGCAGACAUUUCC